rnacentral:rRNA from 1 species
GAUGAACGCUGACAGAAUGCUUAACACAUGCAAGUCAACUUGAACUUCGGUUUGGGUGGCGGACGGGUGAGUAACGCGUAAAGAACUUGCCUCACAGCUAGGGACAACAUUUGGAAACGAAUGCUAAUACCUGAUAUUAUGAUUAUAUGGCAUCGUAUAAUUAUGAAAGCUAUAUGCGCUGUGAGAGAGCUUUGCGUCCCAUUAGCUAGUUGGAGAGGUAACAGCCCACCAAGGCGAUGAUGGGUAGCCGGCCUGAGAGGGUGAUCGGCCACAAGGGGACUGAGACACGGCCCUUACUCCUACGGGAGGCAGCAGUGGGGAAUAUUGGACAAUGGACCGAGAGUCUGAUCCAGCAAUUCUGUGUGCACGAUGAAGUUUUUCGGAAUGUAAAGUGCUUUCAGUUGGGAAGAAAAAAAUGACGGUACCAACAGAAGAAGUGACGGCUAAAUACGUG